UGCGCAGGCGGUUAUAUAAGACAGAUGUGAAAUCCCCGGGCUCAACCUGGGAACUGCGUUUGUGACUGUAUGACUAGAGUACGGUAGAGAGGGGUGGAAUUCCUGGUGUAGCAGUGAAAUGCGUAGAUAUCAGGAGGAACAUCGAUGGCGAAGGCAGCCCCUUGGACCUGUACUGACGCUCAUGCACGAAAGCGUGGGGAGCAAACAGGAUUAGAUACCCUGGUAGUCCACGCCCUAAACGAUGAUCACUAGUUGUUCGGAAAGGUGACUUUCUGAGUAACGUAGCUAACGCGUGAAGUGAUCCGCCUGGGGAGUACGGUCGCAAGAUUAAA
rnacentral:rRNA from 1 species